UGGGGAAUAUUGCACAAUGGAGGAAACUCUGAUGCAGCGAUGCCGCGUGAGGGAAGAAGGUUUUCGGAUUGUAAACCUCUGUUGACAGGGACGAUAAUGACGGUACUUGUUUAGAAAGCUCCGGCUAACUACGUGCCAGCAGCCGCGGUAAUACGUAGGGAGCGAGCGUUGUCCGGAAUUACUGGGUGUAAAGGGAGUGCAGGCGGGACUGCAAGUCAGAUGUGAAAUGUAGGGGCUCAACCCCUGAGCUGCAUUUGAAACUGUAGUUCUUGAGUGAAGUAGAGGUAAGCGGAAUUCCUAGUGUAGCGGUGAAAUGCGUAGAUAUUAGGAGGAACAUCAGUGGCGAAGGCGGCUUACUGGGCUUUAACUGACGCUGAGGCUCGAAAGCGUGGGGAGCAAACAGG
rnacentral:rRNA from 1 species